GGGGAUCUGUUAGAGCAAUCGAAGCAGUGAACUUAAGCCCCAGUAAACGGCGGCCGUAACUAUAACGGUCCUAAGGUAGCGAAAUUCCUUGUCGGGUAAGUUCCGACCCGCACGAAAGGCGUAACGACUUGGGCACUGUCUCAACAACAGACUCGGUGAAAUUGUAAUUCCGGUGAAGAUGCCGGAUACCUGCGACAGGACGGAAAGACCCCAUGGAGCUUUACUGUAGCUUGACAUUGGGUCUUGGUACUACAUGUACAGGAUAGGUGGGAGGCUUUGAAACCAGGACGCCAGUUUUGGCGGAGCCAUCCUUGGGAUACCACCCUUGUAGUACUGGGACUCUAACCAUAGGCCAUGAAUCUGGUCUUGCGACACUAUCAGGUGGAUAGUUUGACUAGGGCGGUCGCCUCCCAAGAGGUAACGGAGGCGCUCAAAGGUUCUCUCAGUACGG
rnacentral:rRNA from 1 species